UUUUCAUAUUUCACAUUGGAUCUCAAAAUGAUAAUCAAUUAAUGAUGUUGUCAUUCAUAAAUUUUGCCAAUUUUUCUUCCUACCGCAAAAAUUGACAAGUUAGCUGCAGAAAUUGUGAUUUAUGAAUCCAAUGAGAAGAUGCUUUAAACUUACUCAAAACUCUGGAGAACAUUUUACAAGAAGUGCUUUGUGCAUUCCAUUGCAUUAUCUAUUCAAAAUGAUAUUCCUAUUCUCACCCAAGAAGCUAUUGUCAGUAAAAACAAUUAUGCAUCAAUUCCAUCUAUUCAAGAUGAUAUUCUUAUUCUCACCCAAGAAGAGGGUUGCCAUGUCUCCCCCCAUCAGUGGGAGUCUCCCACAAUUUUUUAGUUUACCCACAUACAUCUCACUCCCACAAAACUCCCACAAUUAGAAAUCUCCCACAAAAAGCUCCCACAAUUUUUUAAUUUAUCCCACAAUUUUUUUUUUAGCAUUUUAAUGUUUUUAAUAUAUAAAUAAUAUUUUGA